GAGCGCGUAGCACAGAGAGCUUGCUCUCGGGUGACGAGCGGCGGACGGGUGAGUAAUGUCUGGGAAACUGCCUGAUGGAGGGGGAUAACUACUGGAAACGGUAGCUAAUACCGCAUAACGUCGCAAGACCAAAGUGGGGGACCUUCGGGCCUCAUGCCAUCAGAUGUGCCCAGAUGGGAUUAGCUAGUAGGUGGGGUAACGGCUCACCUAGGCGACGAUCCCUAGCUGGUCUGAGAGGAUGACCAGCCACACUGGAACUGAGACACGGUCCAGACUCCUACGGGAGGCAGCAGUGGGGAAUAUUGCACAAUGGGCGCAAGCCUGAUGCAGCCAUGCCGCGUGUGUGAAGAAGGCCUUCGGGUUGUAAAGCACUUUCAGCGGGGAGGAAGGCGGUGAGGUUAAUAACCUCGUCGAUUGACGUUACCCGCAGAAGAAGCACCGGCUAACUCCGUGCCAGCAGCCGCGGUAAUACGGAGGGUGCAAGCGUUAAUCGGAAUUACUGGGCGUAAAGCGCACGCAGGCGGUCUGUCAAGUCGGAUGUGAAAUCCCCGGGCUCAACCUGGGAACUGCAUUCGAAACUGGCAGGCUAGAGUCUUGUAGAGGGGGGUAGAAUUCCAGUGUAGCGGUGAAAUGCGUAGAGAUCUGGAGGAAUACCGGUGG
rnacentral:rRNA from 1 species